GCGCGGUGAUGACCCCAACAUGCCAUCUGAGUUGCAUUGCUGAAAUCCAGAGGCUGUUUCUGAGCUG
rnacentral:snoRNA from 1 species